AAACAGUUAUAGUUUAUUUGAUAGUCUAUSAGAUGAAAAUCUACUACAUGGAUAACCGUGGUAAUUCUAUGGCUAAUACAUGCGCAAAUAUCCUUUUUCGCAAGAAAGAGGUAGUGUUUAUUAGAUACAGAACCAAUACACCAUCUGUUAACAGCAUGUGGUGUAAAAAAGGUGAYUCAUAGUAACCGAACGGAUCGCAUUACGGUCAUUUUAUAAUGAUGGCGAUANAUCAUUCANGUUUCUGACCUAUCAGCUUUCGACGGUAGUGUAUUGGACUACCGUGGCACUGACGGGUAACGGGGAAUCAGGGUUCGAUUCCGGANAGGGACCUGAGAAACGGCUACCACAUCUAAGGAAGGCAGCAGGCGCGCAAAUUACCCAAUCCUGACUCAGGGAGGUAGUGACAAGAAAUAACAACACUGGAAAUUUUAUUUCUAGUGAUUGGAAUGAUGGGAAUUUAAACCCCUUUCAGAGUAACAAUUGGAGGGCAAGUCUGGUGCCAGCAGCCGCGGUAAUUCCAGCUCCAAUAGCGUAUAUUAAAGUUGUUGCAGUUAAAAAGCUCGUAGUUGGAUGUCUGCUGGAAGCAAUCAGUCCGCCCUAUUUGUAGGGUGUGCACUUGAUGAAUUCUGGCAUCUAYAUCCCAAUAAUAUGAUGGUGUAUACCCUGUGUMCACCCAUCUAUAUUUGGAUAAUACCGUUACUUUGAGAAAAUUAGAGUGUCUGAAGCA
rnacentral:rRNA from 1 species